AGCAGCCGCGGUAAUUUCAGCUCCAAUAGCGUAUAUUAAAGUUGUUGCAGUUAAAAAGCUCGUAGUUGAAUUUCGGGGUUAGUAGGUUGGUCAUGCCUCUGGUAUGUACUGGUCUCACUGAUUCCUCCUUCCUGAUGAACCUUAAUGCCAUUAAUUUGGUGUUUUGGGGAAUUUGGACUGUUACUUUGAAAAAAUUAGAGUGUUUAAAGCAAGCUAACGCUUGAAUACAUUAGCAUGGAAUAAUGAAAUAGGACGUUCGAUCCUAUUUUGUUGGUUUCUAGGAUUGACGUAAUGAUUAAUAGGGAUAGUUGGGGGCAUUAGUAUUCAAUUGUCAGAGGUGAAAUUCUUGGAUUUAUUGAAGACUAACUACUGCGAAAGCAUUUGCCAAGGAUGUUUUCAUUAAUCAAGAACGAAAGUUAGGGGAUCGAAGACGAUCAGAUACCGUCGUAGUCUUAACCAUAAACUAUGCCGACUAGGGAUCGGAUGAUGUUAAUUUUUUAAUGACUCAUUCGGCGCUUUACG
rnacentral:rRNA from 1 species